CACGUAGGGUGCGAGCGUUGUCCGGAAUUAUUGGGCGUAAAGAGCUCGUAGGCGGUGUGUCGCGUCGGCCGUGAAAACCUGCAGCUUAACUGUGGGCUUGCGGUCGAUACGGGCAUCACUGGAGUUCGGCAGGGGAGACUGGAAUUCCUGGUGUAGCGGUGAAAUGCGCAGAUAUCAGGAGGAACACCGGUGGCGAAGGCGGGUCUCUGGGUAGUAACUGACGCUGAGGAACGAAAGCGUGGGUAGCGAACAGG
rnacentral:rRNA from 1 species